rnacentral:rRNA from 1 species
GUGAACGCUGGCGAUAGGCCUAACACAUGCCAGUCGAACGGCAGCACAGUAAGAGCUUGCUCUUACGGGUGGCGAGUGGCGGACGGGUGAGGAAUACAUCGGAAUCUACUUUUUCGUGGGGGACAACGUAGGGAAACUUACGCUAAUACCGCAUACGACCUACGGGUGAAAGCAGGGGAUCUUCGGACCUUGCGCGAUUGAAUGAGCCGAUGUCGGAUUAGCUAGUUGGCGGGGUAAAGGCCCACCAAGGCGACGAUCCGUAGCUGGUCUGAGAGGAUGAUCAGCCACACUGGAACUGAGACACGGUCCAGACUCCUACGGGAGGCAGCAGUGGGGAAUAUUGGACAAUGGGCGCAAGCCUGAUCCAGCCAUACCGCGUGGGUGAAGAAGGCCUUCGGGUUGUAAAGCCCUUUUGUUGGGAAAGAAAAGCAGCAGGUUAAUACCCCGCUGUUCUGACGGUACCCAAAGAAUAAGCACCGGCUAACUUCGUG